rnacentral:rRNA from 1 species
UGGAUGUCCCGGUCCCUGCAUUGGAGAUGGCACUUAGGCAAAUCCGGGUGCGUGAUUCAAGGGUGUGGGGCGAGCGACUUUAGGUCGCGAAGCAAUUGGAAGUGGUUCCAAGAAAAGCCUCUAAGCUUCAGUCAUACGAGACCGUACCGCAAACCGACACAGGUGGGCGAGAUGAGUAUUCUAAGGCGCUUGAGAGAACUCGGGAGAAGGAACUCGGCAAAUUGGUACCGUAACUUCGGGAUAAGGUACGCCCUUGUAGUUUGACUGGCUCGCGCCAGAAGGACGAAGGGGUUGCAAUAAAAUGGUGGCUGCGACUGUUUAAUAAAAACACAGCACUCUGCAAACACGAAAGUGGACGUAUAGGGUGUGACGCCUGCCCGGUGCCGGAAGAUUAAAUGAUGGGGUGCAAGCUCUUGAUUGAAGUCCCGGUAAACGGCGGCCGUAACUAUAACGGUCCUAAGGUAGCGAAAUUCCUUGUCGGGUAAGUUCCGACCUGCACGAAUGGCGUAACGAUGGCCACACUGUCUCCUCCCGAGACUCAGCGAAGUUGAAGUGUUUGUGAUGAUGCAAUCUCCCCGCGGCUAGACGGAAAGACCCCAUGAACCUUUACUGUAGCUUUGCAUUGGACUUUGAACCGAUCUGUGUAGGAUAGGUGGGAGGCUUUGAAACCGGGACGCUAGUUUCGGUGGAGCCGUCCUUGAAAUACCACCC